UUUUUAUGUAAAUUUAUUUGAAUAAUUUAAAUAUAAAUAAUUUUUUAAAAUAAUUUUUAGUUAAAUUUAAAUAAUUUAAAUAAAAAUAAAUUAAUAUUUAAAAUAAUUUAUAUUAAUGUAAAUUAAUAAUAGAAAAUUAUUAUUAUUAUCAAUAAAAAUUAGUGCCAGCAAUUGCGGUUAAACUAAAGAUAGUAAGUAAAUUUUUUAAUUAAUAAAAUAGAUAAGAAAUAACAAAAUUAAAAUUAUCAUUGAUUUUAAAAUUAAGUACUUAUGGUGAAAUAUAGGUAUAAAUUUAAUGAUUAAUAAUUAUUAUGUAUAUUAGUUUUCAAAAAUUUAAUUAUAAAUUAGGAUUAGAUACCCUAUUAUUUUUAUUAAAUUGAAAUUAAUUAAUUAUUAAAUGUAAAACAUUAAAAAUAAAAAAUUUGGCGGUACUUAAUAUUUAGAGGAACUUGUUUGUUAAAUUGAUAGUCCACGAAUAGAGAGACUUAAUUUUAUAGUUUUAUGUAUUGUUGUUGAAAAGUUAUAUUAAAAGAUAAUAACUAAUAAAUUUGAUUAAAUUAUAAUUCAAAUCAAAAUGUAGAAUAAUUAAGAAUUUAAAUGAGUUACAGUUAAUUAAAUAAUUAAAUUUUAUAAUUUAAUUUUAUAAGUGAAAAUGGAUUUAAAAGUAAAUCUGUAAAAAUUUAUAGGUUGAAUGAAUAGUUUAAGUAUGUACAAAUUGCCCGUCAUUUUCAAUUUAUGAGAAAAGUCGUAACAAAGUAAAUGUACCGGAAGGUGUAUUUAGAGGAAUGUAAGU
rnacentral:ncRNA from 1 species